UCGAACGAGAUCUUCGGAUCUAGUGGCGCACGGGUGAGUAACGCGUGGGAACCUACCUUUUAGUUCGGGACAACGUUUGGAAACGAACGCGAAUACCGUAUACGCCCUCCGGGGGAAAGGUCAGCCGCUGAAAGAGGGGCCCGCGUCUGAUUAGCUUGUUGGUAGGGUAAUGGCCUACCAAGGCUACGAUCAGUAGCUGGUCUGAGAGGAUGAUCAGCCACACUGGGACUGAGACACGGCCCAGACUCCUACGGGAGGCAGCAGUGGGGAAUAUUGGACAAUGGAGGCAACUCUGAUCCAGCAAUGCCGCAUGUGUGAUGAAGGCCCUAGGGUUGUAAAGCACUUUCAACGGUGAAGAUGAUGACGGUAGCCGUAGAAGAAGCCCCGGCUAACUUCGUGCCAGCAGCCGCGGUAAUACGAAGGGGGCGAGCGUUAUUCGGAAUUAUUGGGCGUAAAGGGCUCGCAGGCUGCUUGAACAGUUAGUCGUGAAAUCCCCGGGCUUAACCUGGGAACUGCGUUUAAUACUAGCAAGCUAGAGAA
rnacentral:rRNA from 1 species